rnacentral:sRNA from 1 species
CAAAGGAGAAGCUCUCUUCGUGCUUGCACAGAAGAGAGCUUCUUUUUUGUGAACGUCCCGACACGAGUACAGAGCAGCACAUAGUGGUGCGGGAGUACGAGUGUCGGGGAGGAUUGCGGGAGCGCGCAGCGCGGAGCAAUCCGUAA